rnacentral:rRNA from 1 species
GACGAACGCUGGCGGCGUGCCUAAUACAUGCAAGUCGAACGCAGUGGGGACGGGUGAGUAACACGUGGGUAACCUCCCAUCAGAGGGGAUAACACUUGGAAACAGGUGCUAAACCGAUACUCAUGGCUCGCCCCUCGUUGCAUUAGCUAGUUGGUGAGGUAACGGCUCACCAAGGCCUAGAUGCAUAGCCGGACUGAGAGGGUGAUCGGCCAGACUGGGACUGAGACACGGCCCAGACUCGUACGGGAGGCAGAAGUAGGGAAUCUUCGGCAAUGGACGAAAGUCUGACCGAGAAACGCCGCGUGAGUGAAGAAGGUUUUAGGAGCGUAAAACACUGUUGUUAGAGAAGCGGUAUCUAAAGAGAAAGCCACGGCUAACUACGUGCCAGCAGCCGCGGUAAUUG